rnacentral:tRNA from 1 species
AUACUAGAAUAGUGAAUUGAAGCUUCUAACUUCUAAAAUAGCGAUAGCUACUAAUAGUUUA